rnacentral:miRNA from 1 species
UGAUGAUGAUGAUGAUGAUGAUGAUGCUGAUGAUGAUAAUGAUAUUGACAAUGAUGGUAAUAGUAAUCAGCAAGAAACUUCAUCAUCAGCAGCUAAA